rnacentral:lncRNA from 1 species
CCGCCCUUUUCAGUAGCCAUCCCCAAGAGUUCAGUACAAAUUAUUACAACCCAGAAUAAAGUAAAAGAAUACAUCAAAAAUUAAAAGUACAACCAAAGAGAGCCUGAUUCAGACUUCCUGUCUGAAAUAUGAAGUAAACCAACUCCAAGAGAUCUUGAUCCAAAGCUUUUCUUCCAUUUGAGUGUGUCAAUGUUCCCUAAGAGCCUCGAAAAGGAUUCUGGGCAACACACCCAAAUGUAUUAUCAAAUUAGGACAAGUGCAGUGUCGAAGGGCC